rnacentral:misc_RNA from 1 species
GAUGAAGAACGCAGCGAAAUGCGAUACGUAAUGUGAAUUGCAGAAUUCAGUGAAUCAUCGAGUCUUUGAACGCACAUUGCGCCCCCUGGUAUUCCGGGGGGCAUGCCUGUCCGAGCGUCAUUGCUGCCCUCAAGCACGGCUUGUGUGUUGGACCUCCGUCCUCCUCCCGGGGGACGGGCCCGAAAGGCAGCGGCGGCACCGCGUCCGGUCCUCGAGCGUAUGGGGCUUCGUCACCCGCUCUUGUAGGCCCGGCCGGCGCUUGCCGACACAUCAAUCUUUUUUCCAGGUUGACCUCGGAUCAGGUAGGGAUACCCGCUGAACUUAAGCAUAUCAAUAACGGAGGA